AUUGAACGCUGGCGGCAGGCUUAACACAUGCAAGUCGAGCGGGGUGAUGGUGCUUGCACUAUCACUUAGCGGCGGACGGGUGAGUAAUGCUUAGGAAUCUGCCUAUUAGUGGGGGACAACAUCUCGAAAGGGAUGCUAAUACCGCAUACGUCCUACGGGAGAAAGCAGGGGAUCACUUGUGACCUUGCGCUAAUAGAUGAGCCUAAGUCGGAUUAGCUAGUUGGUGGGGUAAAGGCCUACCAAGGCGACGAUCUGUAGCGGGUCUGAGAGGAUGAUCCGCCACACGGGGACUGGGACAAGGCCCAGACUCCUACGGGAGGCAGCAGUGGGGAAUAUUGGACAAUGGGGGGAACCCUGAUCCAGCCAUGCCGCGUGUGUGAAGAAGGCCUUAUGGUUGUAAAGCACUUUAAGCGAGGAGGAGGCUCUUUUGGUUAAUACCCAAGAUGAGUGGACGUUACUCGCAGAAUAAGCACCGGCUAACUCUGUGCCAGCAGCCGCCGUAA
rnacentral:rRNA from 1 species